UACAGAGGUCUCGAGCGUUGUUCGGAUUCAUUGGGCGUAAAGGGUGCGUAGGUGGCGCUGUAAGUCGGGUGUGAAAUUUCGGAGCUUAACUCCGAAACUGCAUUCGAUACUGCGGUGCUUGAGGACUGGAGAGGAGACUGGAAUUCAUGGUGUAGCAGUGAAAUGCGUAGAGAUCAUGAGGAAGACCAGUGGCGAAGGCGGGUCUCUGGACAGCUCCUGACGCUGAGGCGCGAAGGCUAGGGGAGCAAACGGG
rnacentral:rRNA from 1 species